rnacentral:lncRNA from 1 species
AAGUAACACACGCAUCCUUCCUUCCUUCCUUCCUUGAGGCUUCAACUAUGGCUCUCGUCAGGAACUUGGCUGCGCUCCUGUGCGUGGUGCUCGCCUCGCUCGCGUUCGUCGCGCAGGCCGUGCUCGCCGCCAGAGGCAUGUAUCAACUCCCGAUUCCCUCUCUUUUUCGUUGGAAUAUCGACAUUUUUUCGCAUGUCUGAGCUGAUGUCCCGCAUGUCUAAUGCUGCAGGCGAUUUAAGCAACGUGAAGCGAGACGGUGUGAGGGGAACCUGGGCGUCCCCUUCCUACCAGGUGCGGCCGGGGCCGCUCCCGCGCUAUCCUCCAAAGUAGGCUGGAGGCGAUCUAUGCCAUGAAUGGGAAUACAAAUAUGCCGGUCAAGAGUAAUUUAGUUAUUUGUUACUGAGCAGUGAGCGUUUGUGGCCGAUAUAAAGAUACCAAAAUGCACGAUUGUAUUUGUAUGUUAGUCCAUCCGACUUAUCUAAGAUGUUGCUACAAUCAUAUGCGAAUAAACAACACGGAGCAACGUUUGUGCCUUGCCGUGUGUGCCAUGUCCGUAGACUGUCCGACGCUGACUCUAUUCGGGUCAUGUUCAAGCUGUUACUUAUUAGAAUCAUGACAUGAAGCCUGUCAUUGCGUUUUUUUUACCACUACUUGUACCUUGAAUGAGCAGUACAAGGAGAAAAG